UACGGGGGAGCAAGCGUUGUUCGGAUUUACUGGGCGUAAAGGGCGCGUAGGCGGCGCAACAAGUCACUUGUGAAAUCUCCGGGCUUAACUCGGAACGGCCAAGUGAUACUGUCGUGCUAGAGUGCGGAAGGGGCAACUGGAAUUCUCGGUGUAGCGGUGAAAUGCGUAGAUAUCGAGAGGAACACCUGCGGCGAAGGCGGGUUGCUGGGCUGAUACUGACGCUGAGGCGCGAAAGCCA
rnacentral:rRNA from 1 species